rnacentral:rRNA from 1 species
UGGGGAAUAUUGCACAAUGGGCGCAAGCCUGAUGCAGCGACGCCGCGUGAGGGAUGACGGCCUUCGGGUUGUAAACCUCUUUCACCAGGGACGAAGCGCAAGUGACGGUACCUGGAGAAGAAGCACCGGCCAACUACGUGCCAGCAGCCGCGGUAAUACGUAGGGUGCGAGCGUUGUCCGGAAUUACUGGGCGUAAAGAGCUCGUAGGUGGUUUGUCGCGUUGUUCGUGAAAACUCACAACUCAAUUGUGGGCGUGCGGGCGAUACGGGCAGACUAGAGUACUGCAGGGGAGACUGGAAUUCCUGGUGUAGCGGUGGAAUGCGCAGAUAUCAGGAGGAACACCGGUGGCGAAGGCGGGUCUCUGGGCAGUAACUGACGCUGAGGAGCGAAAGCGUGGGGAGCGAACAGGAUUAGAUACCCUGGUAGUCCACGCCGUAAACGGUGGGUACUAGGUGUGGGUUCCUUCCUUGGGAUCCGUGCCGUAGCUAACGCAUUAAGUACCCCGCCUGGGGAGUACGGCCGCAAGGCUAAAACUCAAAUGAAUUGACGGGGUC